rnacentral:rRNA from 1 species
AACAAACGCUGGCGGCGUGCCUAAUACAUGCAAGUCGAACGGGGAAAGCUUUCGGGUGAGUACUAGUGGCGCACGGGUGAGGAACGCGUGGAUAAUCUGCCUUAGAGUGGGGGAUAACUAGUCGAAAGAUUAGCUAAUACCGCAUAAGACCACAGGAACUGCGGCUCUAGGGGUCAAAGGUUUUUCGCUCUAAGAUGAGUCCGCGUAAGUUUAGCUAGUUGGUGAGGUAACGGCUCACCAAGGCGACGAUCUUUAACUGGUCUGAGAGGAUGAUCAGUCACACUGGAACUGAGACACGGUCCAGACUCCUACGGGAGGCAGCAGUAGGGAAUAUUGCACAAUGGAGGAAACUCUGAUGCAGCGACGCCGCGUGAGUGAUGAAGGCCUUCGGGUCGUAAAGCUCUGUCGCAGGGGAAUAACACAAUGAAUGUACCCUGUAAGAAAGGAUCGGCUAACUUCGUGCCAGCCGCCGCAGUAACAC